rnacentral:rRNA from 1 species
UACAGAGGUGGCAAGCGUUGUUCGGAAUUACUGGGCGUAAGGGGCGCGUAGGCGGCUUUUUAAGUCAGACGUGAAAUCCCCCGGCUUAACCUGGGAACUGCGUCUGAUACUGGGAAGCUUGAGUUCGGGAGAGGGAUGUAGAAUUCCAGGUGUAGCGGUGAAAUGCGUAGAUAUCUGGAGGAAUACCGGUGGCGAAGGCGGCAUCCUGGACCGAAACUGACGCUGAGGCGCGAAAGCCAGGGGAGCAAACGGG